UAGUGAGGGAGAGUCAGUGAGGUUACCAUAGUGAUAUAGUGAGGGAGAGUCAGUGAGGUUACCAUAGUGAUAUAGUGAGGGAGAGUCAGUGAAGUUAUCAUAGUGAUAUAGGGAGAGUCAGUGAGGUUACCAUAGUGAUAUAGUGAGGGAGAGUCAGUGAAGUUACCAUAGUGAUAUAGUGAGGGAGAGUCAGUGAAGUUAUCAUAGUGAUAUAGGGAGAGUCAGUGAGGUUACCAUAGUGAUAUAGUGAGGGAGAGUCAGUGAAGUUACCAUAGUGAUAUAGUGAGGGAGAGUCAGUGAAGUUAUCAUAGUGAUAUAGGGAGAGUCAGUGAGGUUACCAUAGUGAUAUAGUGAGGGAGAGUCAGUGAAGUUACCAUAGUGAUAUAGUGAGGGAGAGUCAGUGAAGUUAUCAUAGUGAUAUAGGGAGAGUCAGUGAGGUUAUCAUAGUGAUAUAGUGAGGGAGAGUCAGUGAAGUUAUCAUAGUGAUAUAGGGAGAGUCAGUGAGGUUAUCAUAGUGAUAUAG